UUUAAAUUGAGAGUUUGAUCCUGGCUCAGGAUGAACGCUGGCGGCGUGCUUAACACAUGCAAGUCGAGCGAU
rnacentral:rRNA from 1 species